AGCCGGGCUGACUAGGGGGACAGACGCCACAGCCACUCAUGCUGGGCCCCCUUCCAGAGGUCAGAGCGAUCGAUGCACACUUUUUCUGCUGAACAGAAUGAGCUGGUACACGCCGAGUUACACAUUUACUGAAGUUUACCCAGGCUGGGACCGCGUUUCCUGGACACAGAGCAUCCCAGGUGCUCAGGAUACAUCAGCGAAGAAAACAAGGAUCCUUGUCCUCAGGGAGGUUAUCACUGUGCCUGGGACUGAGGGAAAGACAGACGCGCAAAACUAAACGGAGUGCCAGCUGGAAGUAGAAGAGAGUGAAUACUCCCACCGAACUCUCUGGUCCAGAGAAGCGCUCGCUCGCCCACGUAAUUACCCACUGAUGCGGAGACGGACUACUCUCCACCCCUUGGAAACAUCUGUUGAUACGGAGAUGCACUAAAGCCAGGCCAAGAGAUUCUGGAAAUAUUGCAAUGUUACCCACCCUGUCUGUGGAACACAUGCCUAUGGCUUCCCUGUAUGUACUUAAUUAAAUUUUGUUCCUUUUUCUCCUGUUCAUCUGUCUCAUGUCAAUUUGUUUCUUAGACCAGCUAAGGGAACUUGGAGGGAUAGAAGAAAUUCUUCCUCCCACCACCAGUCAAGUAUCUAUGUUUACUAAGGGCUGAACCAGGACCUCUCUCUUUUUGUUAAAAUGACCAGGAUGGUGGGGAGAAAAUGGAAAUUAUAGCCAGGAUCCUUGCCUGGGUGUCUCCCCUUGUAGACCUGAAGUGCCUGUUUGCAUGUCUAUGGGAUGUUUACAGAGAGGCUGGUCAGUCUUGGGAGUGUUAGCAGGAAAACAGAUAUGAGCGGGAUGACAGAGAAUUAAGGCCGGUAAAGUUCACUAAAAAGGGGACUCAAAAAGCAUUCUGUCCCAGGGGACUGAGGAGGAGAAG